CUGAGGGGUGGGAGGUGUUGUUGGCUCCCUGUUGAAUGGGUGGGCUGCUCGGAUUCCGCUGCGUAGGCAGACUCCGGGCCAAGUUCCGCGUGACAGCCCCGACUCUAGUGUAGACGUGGCUGUGCCGCAAAGCGGCGACAUCAGCCAGACGCCGUACCACAGCAAGCAUGGAGCCCGCGCAGCUGACCGUCACCAUAUGUCACCUGGGUGCUGGCAGUCGUGGGACUGCAUUGCUGCAGAGCAGCAACUCAUUGCCUUUUGGCAGCAGACGGUGCAUUAUGACUGGUAGCCGUUGUCGUCGUACUCCUGGGUGCUCUUUUAGCCGACCUUGGUGAGGUCGAUCAGGGGCACCUGGGCAGAUGUGGGAGUGACUCAGCCAGGUCAUUCCCAUCUUCUACUGAGCAUCCAGGACAUGAUGGCUAGCAGACAUACUGCACCAUCUCCAGGUGAGCACCCAAGAGAUGACGAUGGCUAGCAGUCAUAAUGCAGCAUCUUCUGCCAAGCACCCUGGAGAUGAUGGCUAACAAUCAUACUGCACCGUCUGCUGCCAGCCUAAGAUGUAAAAGAUAGAUGGAGUGGAUCAAAACAAGAAAUAGACCCGAUUUGUUUUGUAUUCAUUUGCUGUCUCUCUCUCUCCGUGAAAUCAACGGCCUGCUAAACCCAGGGUUUUGAGUUCAAUCCUUGAGGGGGCCAUUGUGUGACAGUUGUUUGUGUUUUUCCUCGAUGCAAAGCCACCCCCUUUGUUGAUUUGAAUUCCCUGUAAGCCAUGUCGUCAGUCACCCCUCCUGAGAGCAACAGCAGACAAUCGUUUCGUGCCUUUUUUUCGGUGCAGACGCCAUACCACGGCAAGCAUGGAGCCCGCUCAUCUCAACGCAGCAGUCAUGAACAUUGUAAACACCUUGUGCAUUAUCAUGCAGUUUAUGCAGAACCUGAAAAACCAGGUGAGGAGGCGGCGAUGGCAACACGGUGAAGAGUGAUGAGGACGUGGACACAGAAUUCUCUUAAAGCGUGGCCCUCAGUGCUUUGGAGAUCAUGGUAUUAAUGGGGCAAGUUCAUGCUGUGGAAUGCCUAUUCUGGGCCCGGGAAACCACAGACUGGUGAGACUGCAUAGUGUUGCAGGUGUGGGACAAUUCCCAGUGGCUGCAAAACUUUCGCAUGUGUAAGAGCACUUUUAUGGACCUUUGACUUGCUUUCCCCUGCCCUGAAGUGCCAGAAUACCAAGAUGAGAGCAACCCUCACAGUUGAGAAGCAAGUGGCAAUAGCCCAGUGGAAGCUUGCAACACCAGACAGCUACUGGUCAGUUGGGAAUCAAUUUGGAGUGGGCAAAUCUACUGUGGGGGCUGCUGUGAUCCAAGUAGCCAAAGCAAUCACGGGUCUGCUGCUACCAAAAGGUAGUGGCUCUGGGGAAUGUGCAGGUCAUAGUAAAUGGCUUUGCUGCAAUGGGAUUCCCUAACAGUGGUGGGGCAAUAGAUGGAACCCAUAUCUAUAUCUUGGGACUGGACCACCAGGGCAGCCAGUGCAUAAACUGCAAGCGGUACUUUUCAAUGGUGCUGCAAGCACUGGUGGAUCACAAGGGACGUUUCAAAAACAUCAGCGUGGGAUGGCCAGGAAGGGUUCGUGUUGUUCGCAUCUUCAGGAACACUACUCUGUUUAAAUAGCUGCAGCAAGGGAUUUACUUCCCAGACCAGAAAAUCAGUGUUGGGUAUGUUGACAUGCCUAUUGUUAUCCUUAGGGACCCAGCCUAUCCCUUAAUGCCAUGGCUCAUGAAGCCAUACACAGGCAGCCUGGACAGUAGUCAGGAGCUUUCAACUAUAGGCUGAGCAAGUGCAGAAUGGUGGUAGAAUGUGCAUUUGGAUGUUUAAAGGGUCACUGGCACACUUUACUGACUCGCUCAGACCUCAGCGAAACCAAUAUUCCCAUUGUUAUUGCUUCUUGUUGUGGUCCACAAUCUUUGUGAGAGUAAGGGGGAGACAUUUAUGGCAGGGUAGGAGGUUAAGGCAAAUCACCUGGCCACUGAUUACACACAACCAGACACCAGGGUGAUUAGAAAAGCACACCAGGAAGCGUUGUGCAUCACAGAAGCAUUGAAAACCAGUUUCAGAACUGGCCAGGCUAUGGUGUGACAGUUCUGUUUUUCUCCUUGAUAAAAACCCGCCCCCUUGGUUGACUCAUUCCGUGUAAGCCACCCACCCUCCCCCCUUUGUUCACAGCUUGCUUGCAAAGGAAAUAAAGAAUACAUGGUUUUUAAACGAUAA